rnacentral:rRNA from 1 species
CAGCAGCCACGGUAAAACGAAGGGGGCUAGCGUUGCUCGGAAUGACUGGGCGUAAAGGGCGCGUAGGCGGCGAUCAAAGUCAGGCGUGAAAUUCCUGGGCUCAACCUGGGGGCUGCGCUUGAUACUUGGUUGCUUGAGUGGGGAAGAGGGUCGUGGAAUUCCCAGUGUAGAGGUGAAAUUCGUAGAUAUUGGGAAGAACACCGGUGGCGAAGGCAGCGACCUGGUCCUUGACUGACGCUGAGGCGUGAAAGCGUGGGGAGCAAACAGGAUUAGAUACACCUGUAGUCCCUGUCUCUUAUAA